UGAAGCAAGAAGGCACAUUGGAAAGGUCUAUGUUUCCAGUAUAAGACAGGGAGCUGAGGAUGUCUCCCCACUGCCCAAUAAUCAGGAAUUGAAGGCAGCCUCUCACAGACAGUCAGCAAGAAUCUGAGGCCUUCAGCCCAACAAGCCAGAAGGAAAUGAAUUCGCUAACAACCACAUGACACUGGAAGCAGACCUUUCUCCAAUUGAGAAGAGACCACAGUCCUGGUCAACAUCUAGGUUGCAGCUUUCAGAUGAGACCCUGAGCCAGAGGACCCAACAAAGCCAUGCACAGACUCCUGACCCACGGAAGUGCACUGAAGAAGCCUGAUGGAAAUUUUAUAAAUUCAGUGGCUCCCAAGUUCUCUAACCAAGCCUUCCACCCUCACCAUCAUUCAAUAAAUGCUCAACUCAGACACAUUUAUAUGCCCAAGUGCCUCACAUGGCCAGUGAUUCCUAAGUGCUAAACAGAUUUGUUCUGGACUUGGAGUCUGAGCCUAAGGAGCAAGGCUGAGAUAAUUUAAGCACCUCUUGUAACAGAAGGCAACUGGAAUUCAAUAGAGAUAAAUGUAAAAUGUUGAACUAGGGAGCUGAACCAUUGGCAGGGUAGAAUUCUAAAUGGAAAGGUUAUGGCUGAAUGACUAAGCAAGGGAGAACACACACCAUACCCAAGGAAUUCUUGCAGAAAUGCAAGUCUUGGGUGGACCCUGCAGAGAACAAGAGACAGGAUGUGGUAGAACAGCAUGGCCAAAGGAGAGCUACUGGGGCUCAGUAGAGGCCACUACUGGGAAGUCUCCCUCCUGAGGCAGACUGUCUGACAAGGGACAGAGGGAUUUGGCUGGCUAUGUCAAGCUGCAGGUUUUAGCUGCUGUCAUGAGCAGUCCAUUUUGCUUUUUCUCUGCCAGGCUCCAAACACCAGAAGUAAAACAUCUAAUGAUAACCUGAGGUAUUGGCUGUGUCUACUAGGAAAACAAAAACAAAAACAGCCACUCAGGUUGAUUAAUUCAAUCAAAUGAUUGGCCAAGUUCCACGAAGAGAUCGAUAGAAUCAGUGGUUGACCAAAUGGAGAGGUUGAAUCAGGAAGCAUGAUUGAUCCCAUAACCCCAUGCAGAGUCAGCCAAGCAAGGCAAUGUAUUUGUCCAUGAAAGGGUCUCUUGGGUGCCCACAAAUUUGUCUUGCAAUGAGUCCAUGACAUUGGCACGGGCCUGAAAUACAUCUGACAUGGUUCUCUCUUUUCCUUCUUUUAAAGUAUGUUUUCAUACAAUUAACGGAAGGGCAGGAAUUUGCCCUCUUUUAGAUUGGCCACACCAGGAACAGAAAAAGGGAAUGGAGAAAGCCAGUAAAAAGGCAAGUGGAUGAACACAGGCUAUGAUUCAAAAAGUUUUCAAAGCAGUCAACACAUUUCUUGGGACACAAAAAUUACUUGCAGUAUUUUCUGGACAAGAUCCAUCAACACUUAGCAAACUAGCAAUCCCCACGAAAGCACUUCAUUCCUUAGCUAACGGUUUGCCUAUUUCAUGCUCCUCAACAGCCUAUCAAAGGGUAUUAAAAGACACACCAGUUACUAGCCUUGAGAACAAAAGAGGUGACACAAGCCCAAUUUCUCCCUUUGCUUAGCCUCCUCAAUGUCCACUUUGACAGCCCCCAGUCCCUAAUGAAGAGGGCAUCCAUCAAUUAAAUUAGGGCAGCCUUACAAAUCUCUAUAGAGUGUUGACAUAUAUACUAAGCUCUUUUGGCCCAAGUUCCAAAUUCAUUCCUCGCUUUUGGCAAGGAGCAACAUGGAGACUUCUGCUGGGAAAACGCAUCGCUAUUGGAAUGCAUGAGAAAGACGAGCUGUGAGUGCUGGUAUUGUCCUCACACACACUCUCCUGCCUUCUAUUUUCCAAUCAACUGUGAACAAUUGGGUCCUUUCUGACAUGUUGGCUGGGUGAUAAAGGUUCUGUCUUAC
rnacentral:lncRNA from 1 species